rnacentral:pre_miRNA from 1 species
UUUUUAGUUGUAAGUAUGUCCCAUGCAAUAUUUGGGAUAUACUUACACUAAAC